UGAAAUAUGAUUUUUUUGAAAAAAAUAAUUUUAAAAAUAUAUCUUUAAAGAUUUUAGAUAAAAAAUUAAGAUGUUUAAUAUUCGUAUAUAAUUAUUUUAAUUAUUGUAUUUAAUAUAUACAGUUGAAAUUAAAUAUUUCAAAAAACAUAAUUUAUUAAAAUUUCAAAAGACAAUGAUUUUUGUAUUAUUAAUUUAUUGAUAAAUAUUGGAUUUAUAUUAUUUUUA
rnacentral:tRNA from 1 species